UACGUAGGGUGCGAGCGUUGUCCGGAAUUAUUGGGCGUAAAGGGCUCGUAGGCGGUUUGUCACGUCGGGGAGUGAAAACUCGGGGGCUUAACCCCGAGCCUGCUUCUGAUACGGGGCAGGCUAGAGUUCGGUAGGGGAGACUGGAAUUCCUGGGUGUAGCGGUGAAAUGCGCAGAGUAUCAGGAGGAACACCCGGGUGGCGGAAGGGCGGGGUCUCGUGGGGCCGAAUACUGACGCUGAGGAGCGAAAGCGUGGGGAGCGAACG
rnacentral:rRNA from 1 species